CAGGGUUGACCAUACUCUCGGCGGGACAACGCCCCUAGGUAACUGCGCCGCAUGUCCGUGUCAGAGCUGACAAGGUCCGGUGGCUGUACGGCGAUCGGAGGAGUCGGCCGACCCUAGGUCGGUGGCCAGCAGAGUGGCGUCGGGUUCCUCCGUCGGUUGGCGAGUUUCAUGUGAGUCGGCCACCAGACCUCCGGGUUCAGUCGGUCGGGA
rnacentral:lncRNA from 1 species